AGGACUUGACAUCCUUUGACCACUCUAUCUCUAGAGUGGUCAAAGGAUGUCAAGUCCUGGUAAGGUUCUUCGCGUUGCUUCGAAUUAAACCACAUGCUCCACUGCUUGUGCGGGUCCCCGUCAAUUCCUUUGAGUUUCAGCCUUGCGGCCGUACUCCCCAGGCGGAGUGCUUAAUGUGUUAACGUCGGCACUAAGGGCAUCGAAACCCCUAACACCUAGCACUCAUCGUUUACGGCGUGGACUAC
rnacentral:misc_RNA from 1 species